rnacentral:tRNA from 1 species
UUACUAAUAGGUUAUGUAAACUAGUAGAUUGUGGUUCUAUUGAAUACUUAUGAUUAAUUUGUAUUAGUAAA